UCAGCAUUCAAACGCAUGAGAUGGUGUUC
rnacentral:piRNA from 1 species